GACGGAGGAUGCAAGCGUUAUCCGGAAUGAUUGGGCGUAAAGCGUCCGCAGGUGGCAGUUCAAGUCUGCUGUCAAAGGCCGGGGCUUAACUUCGGAAAGGCAGUGGAAACUGAACAGCUAGAGUAUGGUAGGGGCAGAGGGAAUUCCUGGUGUAGCGGUGAAAUGCGUAGAGAUCAGGAAGAACAUCGGUGGCGAAGGCGCUCUGCUGGACCAUAACUGACACUCAGGGACGAAAGCUAGGGGAGCGAAUGGG
rnacentral:rRNA from 1 species